rfam:Triticum aestivum genome assembly, contig: Triticum_aestivum_CS42_TGACv1_scaffold_021975_1AS
UGUGUACUCCCUCCGUUCCAAAAUACUUGACUUCCAUUUGUCCAAAAAUGGAUGUACCUAUAUACUAAGACAUGUCUAGAUACAUAUAUAUUUUGACAAAUAGAAGGCAUGUAUUGUGCAAUGGAGGGAGUAGAAU